CCUUUCUGCGCCGUGUGUCUACAAGAGGCGGAGGAAGGAGAGAAGAUGAGGCGAUUGACGAUUUGCCGUCACUGUUUCCACGCGGAUUGCAUAGAU
rnacentral:sRNA from 1 species